CGGAUUUACUGGGCGGAAAGGGUGCGUAGGCGGUCUUUCAAGUCAGGAGUGAAAGGCUACGGCUCAACCGUAGUAAGCUCUUGAAACUGGGAGACUUGAGUGCAGGAGAGGAGAGUGGAAUUCCUAGUGUAGCGGGGAAAUGCGUAGAUAUUAGGAGGAACACCAGUUGCGAAGGCGGCUCUCUGGACUGUAACUGACGCUGAGGCACGAAAGCGUGGGGAGCAAACAGGAUUAGAUACCCUGGUAGUCCACGCUGUAAACGAUGAGUACUAGGUGUCGGGGGUUACCCCC
rnacentral:rRNA from 1 species